GUGCCAGCCGCCGCGGUAAUACGAAGGGGGCUAGCGUUGUUCGGAAUUACUGGGCGUAAAGGGCGCGUAGGCGGCCCUCCAAGUCAGAUGUGAAAGCCCCGGGCUUAACCUGGGAAUUGCAUUUGAGACUGUGGGGCUUGAGUUUCGGAGAGGUGGGUGGAAUUCCCAGUGUAGAGGUGAAAUUCGUAGAUAUUGGGAAGAACACCGGUGGCGAAGGCGGCCCACUGGACGAACACUGACGCUGAGGCGCGAAAGCGUGGGGAGCAAACAGGAUUAGAUACCCCCGUAGUCC
rnacentral:rRNA from 1 species